UGGGGGGGCGGGCUUACACAUGCAAGUCGAGCGGAGAGAGGUAGCUUGCUACUGAUCUUAGCGGCGGACGGGUGAGUAAUGCUUAGGAAUCUGCCUAUUAGUGGGGGACAACAUUUCGAAAGGAAUGCUAAUACCGCAUACGUCCUACGGGAGAAAGCAGGGGAUCUUCGGACCUUGCGCUAAUAGAUGAGCCUAAGUCGGAUUAGCUAGUUGGUGGGGUAAAGGCCUACCAAGGCGACGAUCUGUAGCGGGUCUGAGAGGAUGAUCCGCCACACUGGGACUGAGACACGGCCCAGACUCCUACGGGAGGCAGCAGUGGGGAAUAUUGGACAAUGGGCGGAAGCCUGAUCCAGCCAUGCCGCGUGUGUGAAGAAGGCCUUAUGGUUGUAAAGCACUUUAAGCGAGGAGGAGGCUACUUUAGUUAAUACCUAGAGAUAGUGGACGUUACUCGCAGAAUAAGCACCGGCUAACUCUGUGCCAGCAGCCGCGGUAAUACAGAGGGUGCAAGCGUUAAUCGGAUUUACUGGGCGUAAAGCGCGCGUAGGCGGCUAAUUAAGUCAAAUGUGAAAUCCCCGAGCUUAACUUGGGAAUUGCAUUCGAUACUGGUUAGCUAGAGUGUGGGAGAGGAUGGUAGAAUUCCAGGUGUAGCGGUGAAAUGCGUAGAGAUCUGGAGGAAUACCGAUGGCGAAGGCAGCCAUCUGGCCUAACACUGACGCUGAGGUGCGAAAGCAUGGGGAGCAAACAGGAUUAGAUACCCUGGUAGUCCAUGCCGUAAACGAUGUCUACUAGCCGUUGGGGCCUUUGAGGCUUUAGUGGCGCAGCUAACGCGAUAAGUAGACCGCCUGGGGAGUACGGUCGCAAGACUAAAACUCAAAUGAAUUGACGGGGGCCCGCACAAGCGGUGGAGCAUGUGGUUUAAUUCGAUGCAACGCGAAGAACCUUACCUGGCCUUGACAUAGUAAGAACUUUCCAGAGAUGGAUUGGUGCCUUCGGGACUUACAUACAGGUGCUGCAUGGCUGUCGUCAGCUCGUGGUCGUGGAGAAUGUUUGGGUUAA
rnacentral:rRNA from 1 species